GUUUGUGUGGAAACUGUGGUGUUCUGACAGCAACAUGGAGGAGAGUUCCAGACCCGCUCUGAAGUCCGGAGCAGCCUGUUGUGGACUGGCUAUUAGCAAGUCCAGCGGAGUGAAGAAACCUCCAGCCUUCCAGGUGAAAGAGCAGUGACGUCAUUCCCAAGCGACCCGUUCUACCCAGCAUUCCGCGUUCCAAUGCAGAUCCCAUCUCAGGACGGGAAAACCGAGAAGCAGAGCGCCCGGCUGAUGACGUCAGUCGGCGUUUCCAUGGUUACCGACCCCGCCUGAGGGAGGAUUGUCCUGGCCUAAGGAAUGACGUCAUACCCAGCAUGCACAGCUGUGAUUCGCUCCGCCGGCAGGAAAGUCGGCAGGAUUAUGUUCUCAGUCAGACAGCCGCAGUUUCGUCUGUUCCAUCCGUGGCUGAUAGCAGAAUUAUGGCA